rnacentral:rRNA from 1 species
UACAGAGGGUGCAAGCGUUAUUCGGAAUUACUGGGCGUAAAGCGCGCGUAGGCGGACCUGCAAGUCGGGGGUGAAAGCCCGAGGCUCAACCUCGGAACUGCCUUUGAUACUGCGGGUCUCGAGUCCGGGAGAGGUGAGUGGAAUUCCUGGUGUAGAGGUGAAAUUCGUAGAUAUUAGGAAGAACACCAGUGGCGAAGGCGGCUCACUGGCCAGGUACUGACGCUGAGGCGCGAAAGCGUGGGGAGCAAACAGG